rnacentral:tRNA from 1 species
GCCCCAGUGGCUUAGUGGCUAUAAUAUCUGUGAUUCCACCUAGAUGCAGUAUGAGCAUCUGUUAAUUCACAGAUAUGGUCUUAGCGGCUGACUUGUAAUCAGCAGGUCGCGAGUUCAACUCUCGCCUGGGGCU